UUGUUUCAGCAACUUUCUUGUUUUACCAAUAAUACUGGUCCUACAUAUGUCAUUGCCCUACUUUUUGCACAUGUAAAAAGAUGUGGUUUCCUACAUCUGUUUAAAGUGACUCCUCUUACAGAAAAUGUAGGUGCUGAGUGCCAACAGAAGUGGAGCCAGAACUGGACUGCUAAAUAACAAAAAUCAGGUAACAGUCAGCUCUAAAGUAGGAAAAGCAGAUUUGAGAUGUUCCAAUCCUUUUUCCCAUUUCCAUGGCACACAGAGAAGGGACCCAAGAUAGGAUCCAGAGCAACCGAAGUUGCUUCUGGAGUGAGAGAAUUGGCCGUCUGCAAGGACGUUACCCAGGGGAUGCCCGGAUGUUUUGAUGUUUUACCAUCCUUGUGGGAGGCUUCUCUCAUGUCCCCGCAUGGAGCUGGAGCUGAUAGAGGGAGCUCAUCCGCACUCUCCCCAGGUGGGAUUCGAACCUGGCAACUUUCAGGGAGCUCUGGCGUGGACUGGUCCAUGAGGUCAUGAAGAGUUGGAAACGACUAAACGACUGAGCAGCAGCAUUAUCUACUGAUCAUUGGUGACACUGAGAAGCAUUAUCUCCAGCCUUGACAGACUCAACUGACCUUCUGAAGAUGACUGGAAUUUGUCAAUGUUGGAUACUUGAGUACAGGAAUGUCUCAUCUUACUAAACUGGAUUAAAGCUCAAAGAACUGAAUUGCUUUUAUCUUAUUUAAUAUGCAUGUGAAUAUAAGUAUCCACACACAUGCUGUUUACCCAGUUGGAUUAAAGCCUAAAGGACUGCAUUGCUUUCAUCUUGUUUAAUAUGGAUUUAAAUUAUGUUAUUCUUUUAUUUGCAAUUAUUUUAAAUUACUUAUGUUGUUUUACUUGUACAUUACUCUGAGGUGCCACAAUAUAAAGGACAAAAUAUAAAUCAUUUAAAAUAAUUAAAUAUUGUGUUUUCACUACUGACAGUGACUACAGUCAAAAUAUUGUUGGUUGUGUUACUUUGUAAAACUGAGGUGAGUACAUUAAAAGAUGUUUAGCAUUGUGGUUGUA